rnacentral:snRNA from 1 species
AUCGCUUCUCGGCCUUUUGGCUAAGAUCAAAGUUUAGUUUCUGUUCUUAUCGAAUUAACCUUCGAUAGAGUCUCAAAUGAGUCUCGAUAAGGUUAUUUGUAUUUUUGGAUCUGGGUAAGAUCAGGGGCUUGCUCCUGCUUGCCACGGGUCGUCCCAGCGUUGCACUGCUGCUGGGAACGGCCCUCCCCAA